rnacentral:rRNA from 1 species
GACGGAGGGUGCUAGCGUUGUUCGGAAUUAUUGGGCGUAAAGGGUGCGUAGGUGGCGCUGUAAGUCGGGUGUGAAAUCCUGAGGCUUAACCUCGGAACUGCAUUCGAUACUGCGGCGCUUGAGGACUGGAGAGGAGACUGGAAUUCAUGGUGUAGCAGUGAAAUGCGUAGAGAUCAUGAGGAAGACCAGUGGCGAAGGCGGGUCUCUGGACAGUUCCUGACACUGAGGCACGAAGGCCAGGGGAGCAAACGGG